AACCAGCGUACAAUACAAAAUUUCGUCUACUUAUCGCGAGGAGCCAUUGGAUCCGCUAGAAUCAAACAAGAUGAUCGGACAGUUAUAUAGAAUCGUGGUCACGUGAAACGCGGACGUUGACAUCGGAGCGGCAGCGAGGGAUGCGUUCUCCCGUGUUCGCGAGUGAUAGUCGCGGCAGCAUGACUGCCGCGGCCACGUAGUCUCGCGUGCACGCACGCGGACAGAGAACAGUACGUCGUCAGUGCAUCGUCAUCAUCAUCCAUCGUCGUCGUCGUUGUCGCCGUUGCUCCGUGCGUGCGAGAGCCGACCACCGAGAAUGCCGGUGUGAAGUGAAAGAACCAUAAGCGCUGCGAAAAACGCUUUCGCGAUUCUUGCAUGUCGUAAAUUUUACCUAUCACCCCGAGGAUACACGCAGAAACAAAGACACGUGCGGGUUUUUGGACUAGCUACUUGAAAAUUAUACUAUUUCCAAUUCUGAAUUCGGCAUCCUUCAUGAAUUGCUAAUCAAAGAUAAUUGGCUAUAUUUUCUUCAUAUAUUUAGCGCUAAUUGCGCUAAAUAGACGUUGAGAAUAGAGACCAAGAAUUGCCAAGAACCAAAUUAUACUGAGUGCGAUAAAAAAAGUCGCUUUGGGAUACGGAAUGUUGAGUCUGAUAUGUACAUAUAGUUUAUAGGAUUAUGGUAGCUAGCCGGUGCGUUUUAGUACUUCCGUUCGUCUUCUAUUACGAUUUUAAUAUCUUUAAUAUCGCGAGCGCAAAACGUGUGUCGCGCCUUGGCGACGUCCGUCUUACUAAUUCCGGGCGAUGUUAAUUGCGAAGUAAAUUUGUUCAAGUAAAACCGUGCGCGAGCGGACAAGUCCUUAUUUUCGACCAUUAUUUUUCACACACGGCGAAGGUGGCGAUUUCUUACUUCAAGUCCGGUUUAAAAC